rnacentral:tRNA from 1 species
CAGUAGCUCAGUUGGUUAGAGCACAUGACUGUUAAUCAGGGGGUCGUUGGUUCAAGCCCAUCCU